CUUAUAAAGUUCACACGUUCCUCUUGACUAGCACUAGGUCUAGGCUUUGAAACUCCUGCUGGGAUAUAAGCUUCGUAGAUUGAAUUCGCAGAGGCAUUUCCUCCAACCUCAACUAUGGAAUCAAGUUCAUCAUCGGACCAUUCAUCUAAUGUCACAGACAAAACCUGUUCCAUUUGUAAACCUCAUUUCAAAUUAUCUUGGGAACAAAAUCCAAAUGAGUGAACAAAAGGCUACAACUCACCACUGGAAGAUAGGAACAAUUGGCAGAUCCUAGAUCUAUAUUACGAAUAUAAGCUUUCUUUCCAGUUUAUUAAUCAUAUACAUGCAAGAUAGUUGUCCAAAAAAACACAUAGAUGCAAAAGUAGGCUUUCCUCCCGGAAGAUACAUAACCGAAAACCGAACUAACUGGAGUUUUAAAAAAAUUCAGACCAAACCGAACCGAAUUUGUACGGUUCGGUUCGGUUAUUUCGGUUCAGUUUUGCUCACCCCUACAAAUUUGUAAAUUAUACGAUAAAAUCAUCCGGUCGCUUGUAUGUUGGCAUAGGCACCAAGUCUUGAAACACAAUGCAUAGUUACAGGCAACAUAUUUAAGGAAAUGUUAAAAUAUGCAUUAGGCAGUGUAGUCCAGUGAGAACAUUUUAAUAACCAUAANCCAAAUACUGAAGUAUAAUGCUUACGACUGAGGAGCAGAGGCAAUUUCAAAAGUUACCAAUUUAUGUGAUGUACUUGAAGAACUUCGAAAACUAUCCGUAAUCUUUGAGGAAAAACUUGUUCGUAAAGAAGCCUUGCUGGAAGUUGACAAGAUCCGCAAGCUGGGUUUGAGGAAAUCUUGACUCUCAUACUUGGACCUGCAGCAAAGAGAAGAAAAAACAUAAUGAACUAGAUAGCCUUCUGUAAACCACUUGUUCAAGUGCAACUGCAGCUGGAACAACAAAAUAAACGAAUCUCUCUCUCUCUCUCUCUCUCUCACACACACACACACAGAGGGAGGGAGAGAAGCAUGGUGUUUAUGUAAUUGUCAAUUUUCUCUGAUACACUAAAGCUAGUUAAUUUAACUUAUCAUCUCCCAUCAAAUAUUAAUGUCAAAGGAUCGGAUAAAAGGAAUGAGGUAUUGAAAAUUAAAAUGCAGCUGUCAACACAAAUUUAUUCAGUCAGCUAACCUUAUAAAGUUCACACGUUCCUCUUGACUAGCACUAGGUCUAGGCUUUGAAACUCCUGCUGGGAUAUAAGCUUCGUAGAUUGAAUUCGCAGAGGCAUUUCCUCCAACCUCAACUAUGGAAUCAAGUUCAUCAUCGGACCAUUCAUCUAAUGUCACAGACAAAACCUGUUCCAUUUGUAAACCUCAUUUCAAAUUAUCUUGGGAACAAAAUCCAAAUGAGUGAACAAAAGGCUACAACUCACCACUGGAAGAUAGGAACAAUUGGCAGAUCCUAGAUCUAUAUUACGAAUAUAAGCUUUCUUUCCAGUUUAUUAAUCAUAUACAUGCA
rnacentral:lncRNA from 1 species